GAAAAUAAGAAAACCUCAGAUGCUUCAAAGCGGGCCUGCAACUUGACUGAUACCCAGAAGGAAGUGAAGGAGAUGGUGAUGGGGUUAAAUGUGCUAGAUCCCCAUACUUCUCACUCCUGGCUUUGUGAUGGGAGGCUUCUGUGUCUCCAUGACCCCAGCAACAAAAACAAUUGGAAGAUCUUCCGGGAGUGUUGGAAGCAAGGUCAGCCAGUGCUGGUUUCGGGGGUACAUAAAAAGCUCAAGUCUGAGCUCUGGAAGCCAGAAGCCUUUAGCCAGGAAUUUGGAGACCAGGAUGUAGACUUGGUGAACUGCAGGAACUGUGCUAUAAUUUCCGAUGUGAAAGUUCGGGAUUUCUGGGAUGGUUUCGAGAUCAUAUGCAGUAAGUAGCUUUCAUAUCUAGUUCAGUGAUAGCAGACUGGAAAAUAAGCAUCUAUACGCCCAGCUCUGCCCUUGAAUAAUAAAUUAUAUUCUGGGGCAUAAUGGGACUUGAAAAAAUAAAUGAAUAAAAAAUUAAAAACAGACAGCCGGGCGUGGUUGCUCGCUCCUGUAAUUUCAGUCUUUUUGGAGGCUGAUGUGUGGAUCACUUGGGGUCAGGAGUUCAAGACCAGCCUGGCCAACUUAGCGAAACCCCACCUCUACUAAAAAUACAAAAAU
rnacentral:lncRNA from 10 species